GGAGGGUGCAAGCGUUGUUCGGAAUUAUUGGGCGUAAAGAGCGUGUAGGCGGUCCGGUAAGUCAGAUGUGAAAGCCCUGGGCUCAACCCAGGAAGUGCAUUUGAAACUACCAGACUUGAGUACGGGAGAGGAGGGGGGAAUUCCCGGUGUAGAGGUGAAAUUCGUAGAUAUCGGGAGGAAUACCAGUGGCGAAGGCGCCCCUCUGGACCGAUACUGACGCUGAGACGCGAAAGCGUGGGGAGCAAACAGAAUUAGAUACCCUGGGUAGUCCACGCCGUAAACGAUGAGCACUAGGUGUAGCGGGUAUUGACCCCCCCUGCUGUGCCGUAGCUAACGCAUUAAGUGCUCCGCCUGGGGGACUACGGUCGCAAGACUA
rnacentral:rRNA from 1 species